rnacentral:rRNA from 1 species
UACAGAGGGUGCAAGCGUUAAUCGGAAUUACUGGGCGUAAAGCGUGCGCAGACGGUUGCGUAAGUCAGAUGUGAAAGCCCCGGGCUUAACCUGGGAAUGGCGAUGGAAACUGGCGAGCUGGAGUGCGGCAGAGGGGGGUGGAAUUCCGCGUGUAGCAGUGAAAUGCGUAGAGAUGCGGAGGAACACCGAUGGCGAAGGCAGCCCCCUGGGUCGACACUGACGCUCAGGCACGAAAGCGUGGGGAGCAAACAGG